AUGUCAAAAGUGGAGUUGAAGAAGAGCCUGGAGAAGAUAGAAAGUGCUAUAAAUGAUGCAUGUGAAAUUUUGAAACAGUUGAACUUGCCAUGUGUAAGUAAUGAUAAGGGGAGACCAGCUGUUCCUACCAAUGCACGUAGUGCAGGCAUCAGUCCUCCAGUACGUGUAAUUGGUCGAGAUAAGGAUCUUCACAAGAUCAUAGCAAUGCUUCAUGAGAAGGAAGACCAGUGCCAAGCAGACACUGUCAGCGAUACAUGUUAUUCUGUGAUUGGCAUUCAUGGCAUCGCCGGGUCUGGCAAAUCAACACUUGCACGUUGUGUUUAUGAUCAGGAGAAAAAGCAGAAGCAAGAGAAUAUGGAUGGUCAUUUCGAGAUUGUCAUGUGGGUUCAUGUUUCUCAGAAAUUUGAGUUGGAUUCCAUUUUCAGGGACAUGUUUGAGGGGGCUACACGGGAAGUCUGCCUGGAUUUUAAUAGUCUUCAUGCCUUAAAAGAAAAUCUAGAGGAAAAACUGUGUGGAAAACGGAUUUUGUUGAUACUGGAUGAUGUCUGGUACAACAGUAGGAAUUCGGAAGACCAUGAAGAACUACAAAAGUUAAUUUCUCCGCUGAAUGUUGGGAAGGCAGGAAGCAGAAUCUUGGUGACUAGUCGAACUGAAGAUGCAUUAUUAGCUCUGGGUGCUGCUCAAGAGAGAUGUAUUCCAAUAUCUGACCUGGAUGAUGAAGUGUUCCUCGAAAUGUUCAUGUAUUAUGCACUUGGAGAUGCAAGGGUAGGUGGCCAUGAUCGAAGAGAACUUGAAACGAUUGGAGAGGACAUUGCAAAAAAGCUUAAGAGAUCACCUCUAGCAGCCAGAACAGUAGGUGCACGGCUGCGUAAAAACCUGAAAGUCGAGAUUUGGAUGAGGGAGAAGGAUAGGGACCUUAUGAAAGAGACAAUGGGAGCUCUAUGGUGGAGCUACCAGUAUCUUGAUGAGCAGGUCAGGCGAUGCUUCGCUUACUGCAGUAUUUUUCCAAGACGGCAUCAGUUGACACGUGAUGAGUUAGUUAAGUUGUGGGUGGCAGAAGGGUUUAUAAAGACUAGUAAAGCUGAAGAGGAAAUGGAAGAUGUUGCUCGGGAUUACUUUGAUGAAUUGGUGUCGGCCUCAUUUCUGCAACUAGGAGGGAAACAAGAAAAUAUUCUUGGACCUGAUGGUGUGGUUGAUUACUUUACUAUUCAUGAUCUGCUCUGUGAUUUAGCGGAGGACGUUUCUGGAAGAGAUUGCUUCAGGAUUGAGAAAGGCUUCACAGGAGAAGUUCCUCAAGAUGUUCGCUACCUUUUUGUCGGGAGUUAUGAUAUAGAGAUGCUUACUGAGAAGAUGUCUGGAUUGAAACAUUUAUGCACUCUCAUCAUCAAUGACAUCAUAUGGCUUAAAUCAGAUGAGUCUGAAUUCUUAGCGAGUAUGUUCACUAUGUUGACAGGGCUGCGGAAAUUGCGGGUACUGAAUAUGAGAGUAGCACGUGAGAGGAGUGGAUUUGGUUUUUCAUUCUCAUUCCCAGAUUCUAUUGGUCAGUUGAAGCAUCUGCGUUAUUUUGGUUUCAUGGUUCCAGUACUUCACAAGCUAACUUUACCAGGUGCUUUUACCAAGCUUUACCACAUGCAGGUGGUAGAUUUUGGUCAUUGCAAAUUUUUGGCUUUUUCUAGAGGUGAAGAUAUGAUGAACCUUGUCAACCUGCGCCGUGUAAUCAGCAAGGCAGAUCUUGAUUUUCCGAACGUUGGCAGGCUGACAUGGCUCCAAAUGUUACCAUUCUUCACAAUAAGUAAGAAGCAGGGGUACGAGUCUCACCAGCUGAAAUACCUAAACAAGCUUCAAGGCAAGCUGCAGAUCCACGGUCUUGAGAAUGUUGAGAGCAAGGAGGAGGCUGUUGAAGUAAGUCUUGCUGGCAAGGAAAAACUCACAGAACUGGUACUGGUCUGGGAUGAUAAGAACUGCAGUCCAGAAGUUCAAGCAGAGGUGCUUGAGGGUCUUUGUCCAUCAAAGUAUCUUGAAAGAUUAGAAAUCAGGGGUUACCGUGGUAAGAGGAUACCGAGUUGGAUGAUGGGUACGCAUAACGGCAGCCCGAAGAACCUGCAAGACCUUCACUUCAUCAGAUGCAGCUUGGAUGACUUACCAGGUAAUACGGAGCACCUCACAUCACUCAAGAAUGUGAUCCGGUAUAACUACAGCCAAUCCAAAUUGGCAAAAGAUUGA
rnacentral:rRNA from 1 species